rnacentral:rRNA from 1 species
ACCGAAUAGAUACCCGGGUAGUCCACGCCGUAAACGAUGAAUACUAGGUGUAGGGGUUGUCAUGACCUCUGUGCCGCCGCUAAACGCAUUAAGUAUUCCGCCUGGGGAGUACGGUCGCAAGAUUAAAACUCAAAGGAAUUGACGGGGGCCCGCACAAGCAGCGGAGCAUGUGGUUUAAAUUCGAAGCAACGCGGAGAACCUUACCUAGACUUGACAUCUCCUGAAUUACUCUGUAAUGGAGGAAGCCACUUCGGUGGCAGGAAGACAGGUGGUGCAUGGUUGUCGUCAGCUCGUGUCGUGAGAUGUUGGGUUAAGUCCCGCAACGAGCGCAACCCUUAUUGUUAGUUGCUACCAUUUAGUUGAGCACUCUAGCGAGACUGCCCGGGUUAACCGGGAGGAAGGUGGGGAUGACGUCAAAUCAUCAUGCCCCUUAUGUCUAGGGCUACACACGUGCUACAAUGGUCGGUACAAUGAGAUGCAACCUCGCGAGAGUGAGCAAAACUAUAAAACCGAUCUCAGUUCGGAUUGUAGGCUGAAAC